rnacentral:rRNA from 1 species
UACAGGGGGUGCAAACGUUGCUCGGAAUAAUUGGGCGUAAAGCGCACGUAGGCGGUUCGUUAUGUCGGAUGUGAAAGCCCUUGGCUUAACCGAGGAAGUGCAUCCGAAACUGGCGAGCUAGAGUACUAAAGAGGAUCGCGGAAUUCCCGGUGUAGAGGUGAAAUUCGUAGAUAUCGGGAGGAACACCGGUGGCGAAGGCGGCGAUCUGGCUCGGUACUGACGCUCAGGCGCGAAAGCGUGGGGAGCAAACAGG